GGCAGUGGGGGCUGUAGCUAUUACCACUAAGCUUACUGGUGACUUCCAGUUUCCUGGUCUCCCUCAGUUUCAUAAUUCCUAGCCACAUCUGUACUUGAACAUAAUUUGGCUGUGUGUGUGUGUUCAAAGAAGUAGAAUAUCAGCCUGAGUCAGGUUUCCCACAAUGCAUCACCUUCCUCUUGAACAAGACUGAUUCUCUGGUAUAUUUAACUGGAAUCACUUAGAUUGGCUGUCACUUAAAUCCUCCAAAUUCACAAAGGCUUGGCCCUCUAGAUGAGUCUUCCCCCACUCUCCAGAUGUUAUUGGCUACAGCUCCCAUCAUUCAUGCUUCUUAGCUUUUGUAGCUAGUUUUCUUGCUGAUUAUUAUAGCCACCUCAGCCCUUUUGAGAAAGACAAGGUCUAUUUUAAAAAAUAAAUAAAUACGUAAAUGAAUGAAAACUACCAGGUGAAUUACCUUUUGUUCAUUGGCAGCUGAACAAAAUAAUGGAUGGAUGGAUUCUCAUUUUAAAAGUGUGUGUUGCAUUCAACUCCAGUAGAAACCAAUGGACUGAAACUUGUCCAUAGAGUUCAAUGGGUCUCUCCUACGUAUGAGCAUAUUAUUGCUGUUUUGUGAGCGACUGCAAACCACCCUGGAUAUUUUUACAGUUGAAGGGUGAUAUAGAAAAGUUAUAAAUGAAUGAAUGAAGAAAUAAAUAUACUGUAGAUGGUUGUUUCAUUCUUCUUGCCUCAGUAUCCAUGCCCACGUUUAGGAAAGCUUUUGUCCAUGUCGGGAAUAUGCAAAGAAAUCACAACUGAGCUGCUUCGAAACAGAUACUGCAGGAGGCAUCCAAUCAGUUUCUUAAAUUUGCUUUUGUUGUAGGAUUACCAUGAAAUGGGUAGCAACCAAAACACAAACACAAUGAAAGAAUAAACAUUGUGUGAUACAGAAGUAUAACUAUUGUGUGCCCCAUGUCGCAAUGUAUUAUCCAUCUGAUAUGCGCAGCAAAUUUGCUUAGGGUUGUUGAGUCAUUUGGCUUGUUUUCCUUUGCAUUUUAAGAGAAGAAAGUAGAUUCUAUUGUAUCUGUAUUUUUAGCUUUUUAUUCUUCUGAGCUACCAUGAGAGUCUGCCCCUAGGCUAGCUGGCAGGAUAUAAAAAUGGGUUAGUGAACACACACACACACACACACACACACACACACAGACACAAUAGCACUCAGUUCUAAACAAACUUCUGAAUGUUUUGAACAACUCCAGUGCAUCUGCACAGAAAUACUACUACUACUACUACUACUAAUAAUGCAUUAGACUGAAGAAAUAUUUUCAGACCUAGUUUUUGAGUUGCAACAGAUCAGUACCUAUAUCAAAGAAAACCCCAACAUAAACCAUUCCUUCCUCAAGGUGCAAUUAGCUUUAGGGGGAUAAAUCCCAGCGGCUGUAGAGGGAAGGGUUAAACCCUUUGGUGCUGUGGAGGGAGAAUGCAAGGGAGCACCUUCCAGGACUUUUUCAAAGCAUGUGUUACCUGCCAUAAGCCAGAGCGCCAGGGAAAGGUGAUAGGAAAGCUGUGGCAAGGGAAUGAGGUGAUCCUGAGGAUCCCAAGUUUUUUGUGUGUGGCAGAUUAUCAUAUGGAAGAAAUUGGGAGGAAAAUAAUCUGGCAGAGGCUGGGUUCUUGCUUCCUUUUCUUUGAUGGGGUUCCUAAUCCUUGCUAGCGGUUUAAAUGCUAACACUUUGCAAUCACGGUUGCCAUUUCUAAUGAAAAGCUUUCGUUUUAACCAGCAUUUUAGCUGACAGAGACUCUUGUGUUGAAGUUCCAUGGAGAAGUCUGUUAGGCGGUAUAAGCCUUUGGUUUGCCAGGUUUUUAUCUGGAAGUUUUGUGCUGCGUGAUGCAAUAAUGGGUGAUGUGCCAAGGGAAUUAGUGGGGAUGGGGUUGGGGACAGUUUACCUAUUUCUGCUUUCCUUGCCUUAAGCCUGGUUUAUGUGAACCUGUUCAGUGUUGUAGGAAUUUUCCUUAGUUUGUUUGGGAGGAAUGGGUUUGCUGUGGUGCAGGUAUUUUCAAUUGUGUCCCUCUCCAGUUGUACCCAUUGUUUUGUCUUGUCUUCCAGUAUAUAUGGGAUUAUGUGGCGUACUUGGUUGGCGAUGUAAUAUGUUUCUAUGUUGGGGAUUGAAGUUCCAUGUGUUUAAACCUAUGUGCUCAGAAUGAAGCCACACAGAAUUCAGUGGAGCUUGAGGUUAUUCCCAGGACACUGUGCAUAGGACUGAAGUCAUGUUGAUGCUUUUAAAUUGUAUGUCAUGUUAUGUACUGCCACUCUUUGGGGUGUGUGUGGUUGUAGAUGGGGGCAGCUGCCUGCAUUUUUUAACCUUCCUUGCAGGCAUGGUUAUGGAGGCUGCCACAAGGAGCUCCCGUAAUCCAAAAUUCACCAUUACACCACUGAUAUAGUGAAACAAAGACUUUGACCCUUUGAGAAACCUGAAUGUUCAGAUCAGAGUCUGAAUCCCGGGGAACCUUAUCAUUGCUCCCUUUAAAAUCUUCGGAGAAUUUGUUUUCCCUGCAACACAACAUAAAAAACCAGUGUGAUUACGCCAAGGUAGUUUUUCUGAGAUCUUUCUGUUGAAGAACUAAGUCACAUCGUUGCAGCCAAAUAGCAGAUUAGAAACGGGAUUCUAGCUGUCACCCUGCAUCUGAAUUUGACAGAUAUAUAGGUCAUUAAAUGUUCUUCCCUAUUGUCAUUAUAGCAAUGAAGACCACAAGCUGGAAAAAUAUUUUUUGGAUCCCCUGCCACCUGAGCUUAGAAGGGAUUUUUUAAAUUGUGGUGAGAUUCUAGACUAUAAUUAUGGAAGAAACUACGAACCAUUAUGUGUGAAUUGUUGUGGGCUCUAUUUAAAAAGUUACAAUUUGGCCACAGCCAGAGAAAGCAGAGUACCUCAUUAACAGAAAGGACGAGUUUGUUAUAUACACCUUGUAGGUUUUGCACAUAUAACAAUUAAUGGUGAUGUCACUUUUGUCCGCAGGAUGUGAUCUUCUAAGAUCACCACCACCACCAUUAUAAAAAAUAUAUGUAUGUACAAAUAUAUAUAAAUAUUCUCAGCUGGCAUGUGGCAAAAAUGAUCUCUGGCCCAAGAAAGGUUAUAUCAUAAUAAACUACCACCUGCUGAUUUGACAUUCAUUGAUAUGGCCACACACAACCCCAAUCUCCAUGAGUGGUGUGAGAUUCCAGGUGCACAUUACCCGGGUCUUUGUUUCCUUUGGAAAUAAGGCACAGUGGAGACUGUGGUGUCUUUAUGAUAUGUGGUUUAUUUACGCAACCUGAGUCUAGAGGGAGAGAGUUCAGAGCAUUCAUGUUCCAAGUGGGUCUCUUGCUUCUCCCAUGGGUGCAGCAGGCUUGGGAACAGAGAAAUCGGCCAUGCUCUCUGUCUCUUUGCCAACCCACAAGCUGCUCUUCGGCUCCCUCCUUCUUCCUUGUCCGCUAACCCAGUGAAACUUUAUCCCUCCAGCCUAACAUCAUCCAAACUGAAAUCCUAAACCCUUUUUGCUUCUGCCUGCUAACACACAGCUGGAAGAAGGGUCUCACCCCGUCUUCACCCUCUUGAUAGCUUUAUUUCACUGGUCUUUGUCCCUCUAAUCAACCACACACAGUUAGGGGUCACCAGGCUGGCUUGGCUUGUUAACAUAAGCUUAACCGUGCCUGGAAUAAUUUAACUCCCCAAACCUUGGCUCAUUCUAACUUUCAUUGGACCCAGGGAUUUAGGGUGUCUUGCACCCCACAAACUCACAACAAUAUCUUUUAGAGGCUAGGCUGAAGAGGACCUGCAAAAGGACCAAUGGUUGGACUCAGUGUAACACAGCAUCCUGUGCCUGCACUUUAUUUACCAAAACCUUUUCUGGGUUGUAAUUAAGAAUAAUAUUUUUCGACUAGGUCUGGUGUAAACCGUGAUUUUUGAAAAAGCGACUUUGUAUAAAUGGUUUUUUGUUAUUUUGGGUAAGCCUGUUGGGCAUUUAUUUAAAUAGAAAGGCCAUAUAUUUUUAAUUAAUUGAUUGCAUUUGUUAGGGAACAAUCCCUUUCAGGUGUCAAGAUCAGGUGUCAAGUUAUGCAACCCUCUGAAGCCCCCAAAUUGUGGAUUUUCCUCCCCAAAGAGGUGCAUCUGGCUUCUUCAAUAUAUAGUUUGCAGCGAAUGCUGAAGACACACUUCUUUACCAGGCCUUGGACACCCUGGGAGAUGUGUGUUUUCAGGGCCUGUCCUAUUCCUAUGGCUGUAAUUUGUUUAAUCUGUUUUUAAUACUGAGUUUUAAAUUAUUGCAACCCACCCUGGGACCUGCUGGCGAAGGAUACAUUGCCAUUAUUCUUAUUCUUUAGAGAAAGGCCCACAGCAAAGGAUGCCUGCCACAGAAAAUGAGUCGAGCUUUCCCGGGAAAAGAGAGGAGGCAAGGAUUUUUCACGAUCCCGGGCCCUUGUUUCUGCCUCCCUUCCAUUAAAUACUGACAGUCAAUGUGCCAGUUGCAUUUGCAUUUGCGUCAAACGUUUCACCAUAUGUUUCCCAGCACUCCUGGUUAUGCAAUUUCACCGUUCAAUUUCAUUUAUUGUAAAGCGGAUUAGUCUCUGCAACAUAACCCGAGAGACGUAAUCGUAUAACAUAAUUAAACACUACCCCCAUCUCUGAGCGGUGUGAGAUUCAAGGGAGUUUCAGGCACACUUUGCCCAUGGUUGGUGUUUCCUUUUACAAAAUGAGGCACAGCAGAGACUGUGGUGUCUUUAUGAUAUUUGGUUUAUUUACACAUCUAUACAACCUGAACCUAUGAUGUGGGGUGCACAGCAUUCAUACCCAAGUAGCUCCAGCUUCUUCCAUAGCCACAGCAGCCUUGGAUUUAAGCAGACCCCCAACACUGCUCUCAGACGUUGUUCUCUGAUUCACUUUCCAACCUGUUCCUUACUAGCUCCGAUGCAUAACUCCUACUGUUCAUGUGGUUUGGAUACCUGAUUACCGUCUUCCAAAGCAACUGCUUUAUUCCCAACUUAAGAAUGGAAAGUGAAAUACUGGUCGACAAUAAAAGAAGUUUAAAGACAAGAUGGUGGUGGAGAUGCUCCUUCAGGUAUACUGGGCCAAGGCCGUUUAGGGCUUUGAAGGUCAGCACCAACCCUCUGAAUUGUUCUCGGAAACGUACUAGGAGCCAGUGGAGAUCCUUUAGGACCAGUGUUAUAUGGUCCCUGUGGCCACUCCAAGUCACCAGUCUUGCUGCCGCAUUCUGGAUUAGUUGUAGUUUCUGUAUCAUGGGAUCAUGGGAAUUGUAGUCCAGAAACAUCUGGAAGGGAACAGGUUCUCUACUCUCUUCUAACCCAAAACCUCCCCUUGUGUGUACCUGUUAUUUAUUGUUUUAUCUUCAUUUCACUUACUAACUGACUUACUAUGCAAACUGUCUCAAGGUGACCGAUGAUGAAAGAAAUUGCACGGGUCCAACACAAAGAAUAACAUACGCAAUGUAAAAAUAAAUAAAUCAUAAUAAUCUA